rnacentral:tRNA from 2 species
GGGGAAGUAGCUCAGUGGGAGAGCACAUGACUGAAGAUCAUGGUGUCGGGAGUCCGAUUCUCCCCUUCCCCA